GCACACUCCCCUCCCUCUCCCUCUCCCCGACCGAUGCGGCGCCGCCUCCCUCUCCCCGACCCCCAGAUCUCGCUCUCCCCGACCUAGACCUUCCUCUCCACCGUCCCAACCCCUACCCCACCGCCGGCCUCCCCCCAAGCGCUGCCGCUCUUGACCUGCAACGACCUGAGCAGCAGCAGCAGCAACUUCCUCCUCCGCUUCCCCUUGCUCUUGCCGCCCGCCUCCGAGCUCUUGCCUCCGUGGCUCUUCCGAAGCCACGGCCAAUAGAGCCAUGACAGGCUGAGCCUGAGCCUGAUCCUGCGCCGGCGAUGCCUCCGCCGCUCCGGCAAGUAUGCACUUGAGGUCUGGCCACGCACCGCUGCUCAGAUCGAGCGAGAGGCGAGGCAGCGCUGGAUCCAGAUCGAGCCGCCGGAACGAGGCCAUGGAACCGACAGCAGGCACACCAUGGAGGAGAGGACCCCAUGGAGGGGAUGACGCCAUGGACGUGAGGACGCCAUGGAGGACGCAGCUCCAGCACCACCCCGACGCCAUCUCCGAGACCCCUCCCGAUACAUCUCCUGCGAUUUUGAUGGAGGGUCAAGGACCGCACGCACAAUGGAGUGUCCAGAACGCCCAGGCCAGCCACCGUGUGAGUAGGCAUCCUCUGUGGACGAUGACGACAACCAGGGCAUCCACCGCCACGACGACGCUCCGCACAUGGUCCAACUCGGCUACAACCUCCUCUACCGCGGGACGAAGACCGUGGCCUUGUGCGGCAUCGGCUACAACCUCCUCUCAUUUUACUUGAUCGUGCAGGUGGUCGUGCUGAAGGUGUCCCUGCACUACAAAGUGUGCACCGGCAAGGUGAAGAAGCACCUCGCCAAGAUGGAAGGUGAGCACCAACAUCUCUAAAAGUUUGGUGACAAAAUAAUGCAUCUUGAAUCCUGGGAAGACCAGUUACUUACUAAUAAUCUGUCAUUGAAGGAUAUGCUACAGCAAUGCAGCAAUUUGAAUUGAUAUUCACAUUGAAUUAAUGACUUGUCUUGUUGUAUGCAAUUGAAACAUACCCAUAUAAAAGAAGUCUGUUCCAUGCAGCAUUUUUACUGUUUUACUCAACUUGUUUUUGUUGUUACUUGAUACAUACUACCUCUGUCCCAUAAUAAACCAUCAAAUGUACUCCUGGGAGGGAUAAACAUCUUUUUUAGAACAUGGGUUGAAGCAGACUGUACUUGCUUACUGAGAAUAUGAAAAUGAGAUAUUCUGUUUGCUAAUAUGAAGAUAGCAUUGUGUUUAAUCCAGUACUGAUGAUUGUUUUCAUUCCCAUAAAAACUUGUUAAUGAUGGUGAUUUUGUACUAGCAUAUAAACUUGUUUUUGUUGUCACUUGAUACAUACUUACCUUGUACUUGAAGUUGUGGGUUAAUGCUGGUAAUUUUGUUCUACUUGUAUGCAUUGGUACCCCCAUCAUCGAGCGCACGGAUGCAAUAGUGGCAAGAAGAUCAUGGUCGUGUGCAUCAUCAAGCACACCAUGGCGAGCAUCCACCUCCUCACAGUGGCAAGAAGAGCAGGUGCCUAGUUUGUAAUCACUGUCGAAGGAGCUCCAUGCUGAAGAACAUAACACUUGUAGAGCUUGUAAAGUACCAUGUUAUUGAACUUGUGGAGCAUGUAACUGUGACUGCCAUACUGUUGUUACACUUGUAGAGCUUGCAAAGUGUAUGUUAGAGCUUAUUACGUGUUAUUUGUACAGCAGCAGCUCUGUACUGAUUCUGGCUGAUAAUAUUUGAAGUAUUUUGUGUGU